rnacentral:misc_RNA from 1 species
CCGAGUUUACAACUCCCAAACCCCUGUGAACUAUACCUUUACGUUGCCUCUGGCGGGCCGCCGAAGCGGACGCCAGAGGACCCAAACUCUUGUAUUUGAAUUGAGUAUUCUCUGAGUGAUACAAGCAAUAAAUUA